UUUUUUAAUCUGGGUGCUGUGGGGAACUGUGAAUAAAAUGUAACUUCUGUCUCUAUUUUCUUAGAGAGAGAUUUCUCUCUCCUGUUUCUUGUCUGUCUGCGCCUGAGGCUUUUCUUGUUGCCAUUCAAGCAGUUUCUUUUGCCCCUACGGGCAGGGUAAGCUCUCUUCCGGCCCGGUUGUUGGUUUGACUCUCCUCCCACUAGGUGGUUGUAAAUAUGUCUUUUUUGUAUUCUUCUAGCAGAUUGAGCUUUAAUGAGUGAGAGUCUUUUAUGGAUUUGCCUUGAUUUUGCUACUUCACUUUGCAUGCAAGUGCUGCUCUUCCCCUGGGCUGAAAUCACAGCGUCGGUGAGGUGGUCUUGUCUUUGUAUGGAGGAUAUAUAUUGUGCAGCUUUUUCUCCAAGAGCAGCGCUGCUUGCCUCUUGCUUCAGUCAGGUCGAUGCCUUUACUGGUCUGCUAUCUAGGUCUAAAGACCUAGGGUUCCUAUUGCCGGAUUGGGGCUUUAGUGUAAUCUGAGUCGAGUCUUUUCUUUGUAAACUGUAAUUAGGCUUCUUUAUUUUAGUCAUGGGCCUAGCCUUGUAUUAUUCUCAGCCCUUUUUAAGGCAUUUAAUAAUAUCAAAUACAUAUCUUUUGAAAAGAAGAA